rnacentral:rRNA from 1 species
UACGGAGGGUACGAGCGUUGUCCGGAAUCACUGGGCGUAAAGGGCGCGUAGGCGGCCCGGCAAGUCAGUGGUGAAAGCCCGAGGCUCAACUUCGGGUCGGCCACUGAUACUGCUAGGCUUGAGUCGACUAGAGGCAGAUGGAAUUCCGGGUGUAGCGGUGGAAUGCGUAGAGAUCCGGAAGAACACCGGUGGCGAAGGCGGUCUGCUGGGGUCGAACUGACGCUGAGGCGCGACAGCGUGGGGAGCAAACAGG